rnacentral:lncRNA from 1 species
UUGACAAAUGCGUUGUCGUACAGAAUAAAUCUGUAAUAGUUGCUAAGAUCGUUGCAUUUGUCCAGUUGAAACCUGAAGUGUCGUGCUUCCUAUAUAUCAGUGAAAAUUCCACAAUGAAAGUGUUUCCAGAUUUCUUGACACAACCCGCGGCGUUGCAAAUUCCAUUAGCUAUGUAUUUCUUGACUAGUUUAUUGUUGUAUCUUGCCAUAGACACCUGCCCUUCAUCACAAAACUGGUCAGCCUUAGAUUUUCCAAAUAUGCAGUAUUUUUUAUUGGUAAUAACCA